GGCCCCUUCAUCUUCUUCCCUCGCCCGCAGCAUCGCCCUCCUGGCUCUGAUCUGCUGUGCCUUCGCAUGCUCCACGGCGGCACAAGUUGCUCGAGGGGGGAGCCGUGCGCCGGUUCGUCCUCCGUCGCCGCAGUUCCCGUCGCCAAGGCGGCCGGGGCAGGCGCCGCUCGCUCCACCGCCGCCGUCAUCAACAGAAAGGCCGACGGCGCUCACGGCACACCGGAAGACCAUGGAGAUUGCUGCCCGCUAGCUCUGAAUUGAAGAUGAGGUCGACUUGUUUUUACUUGGUGUAUACAUUUGGCCCUGCUGGGCUGCUGGCGCUAAGGGUACUGUAUUUGGUUUCGUUUCAGCCUCUGGUUUAGAAUUAUGUCACAGUGCGCUGAUAAUAGGUCUCGAAAAUGCUAUCGUUCAGAUGAUCCUAUCAUCUCGAUUAAUAAACAUCUGAUUAAUAUGUAACAGUACGUAUA